CUUAAAAAAUAAAUAAACAAACACGAACCAAAUAUGAACACCUUAAAAAAUAAACAAACGAACAUAAACACAAGUUUGUUCCUCAAAACUCAAUUCAUUUACUCAUCUACAAACACCAGCUGACAUACAAACAGCUGGGUUUAGGUGAAGCGGUGAUUUCCAGCUUCAAUCGGACAGCAUUGCAGUUAUGCCCUGGAGUUAAUGAAUUGAAUGUGGGUGAUGAGAAUAACAGCAGCUGGCGUUGUAUUCACAAACAUUUCAUGUUUCCAUCUUUACAACUGAAACUGUUCCUGGAACGCCCUCAUCGUUUCCACGCCAAAUCCGCCGGCAAACUGUUAAAAAAUGGGUUACCUUUUGAGCCAUCUUUCUCCAAGUUGAGUAAAUUAAAUGAGAAUGUUACCUGAUGCACACGUAAUGCAAAUCUGACGCCUUGAACAAUCAGCUCCUCUUCUUCAGGCUCACUUCCAACUGCUUCAAGCUCAGAUGAUACCCGUCUCAUGUACUUCAUCGCUAAUUUUACCGACGUCAGCUUAAUCUGCCGCAAUUUGUAUGCAUAUUAAUGAGUUAAUAGACAACUAACAUCUCAUUCUCACUGA